UGAGCANUCUGCCCUUCUCAUCGGAAUAAGCGUUGGAAACGACGUCUAAUGCCGAAUACGACCUCCUUUCGCAUGAUCGGAGGUGGAAAGCUCCGGCGGAGAAGGAUGAGCUCGCGGCCUAUCAGCUAGUUGGUGUGGGUAAUGGCCCACCAAGGCGACGACGGGUAGCCGGCCUGAGAGGGUGACCGGCCACACGUGGGACUGAGACACGGCCCAGACUCCGUAGGGAGG
rnacentral:rRNA from 1 species